UGCCAGCCGCCGCGGUAAUACGAAGGGUGCUAGCGUUGUUCGGAAUUACUGGGCGUAAAGAGCAUGUAGGCGGAUGAAUUAGUCAGUGGUGAAAUCUCUCAGCUUAACUGAGAAACUGCCAUUGAUACUGAUGUUCUUGAGUUUGAUUGAAGUAGGCGGAAUGAGGCAUGUAGCGGUGAAAUGCAUAGAUAUGCCUCAGAACACCGAUCGCGAAGGCAGCUUACUAAGUCAAUACUGACGCUGAGGCACGAAAGCGUGGGGAGCAAACAGGAUUAGAUA
rnacentral:rRNA from 1 species